rnacentral:rRNA from 1 species
UACGUAGGGGGCAAGCGUUGUCCGGAUUUAUUGGGCGUAAAGCGCUCGUAGGCGGUUCGUUGCGUCGUGCGUGGAAGACCCCGGCUCAACUGGGGAGGGUCGUGCGAUACGGGCGAACUGGAGGCCAGUAGGGGGAUGCGGAAUUCCGGGUGUAGUGGUGGAAUGCGUAGAGAUCCGGAGGAACACCAGCGGCGAAGGCGGCAUCCUGGACUGGUCCUGACACUCAGGAGCGAAAGCGUGGGGAGCGAGCCGG